UACGAAGGGGGCUAGCGUUGUUCGGAUUUACUGGGCGUAAAGCGCACGUAGGCGGAUCUUUAAGUCAGAGGUGAAAUCCCAAGGCUCAACCUUGGAACUGCCUUUGAUACUGGGGAUCUUGAGUCCGGGAGAGGUGAGUGGAACUGCGAGUGUAGAGGUGAAAUUCGUAGAUAUUCGCAAGAACACCAGUGGCGAAGGCGGCUCACUGGCCCGGUACUGACGCUGAGGUGCGGAAGCGUGGGGAG
rnacentral:rRNA from 1 species